rnacentral:lncRNA from 1 species
CCUAAUUCUAAUCCUAACUGAAAUCUUAAUCCUAACCCUAACACUGACCCUAAUCCUAACCGGAUCCUUAACCCUAGCCCUGACACCCAACCCAAGCAUAACCCUUACCCUAACCCAGGUUCUAACCCUAUCCCUAGAUUUAAGCCUAGCAUGCUCCCUAACCUUAACACCUAAUCCUAACCAGAUCACAACUCUAACCAAACCAACCCGACUUCAAUAACCCAUUAACCUGAUUACCCAUGACCCAGUUGUUGCAUCUGUUAACCCAACACCUA